AAGACCUUGCACUUUUGGAGCGGCCGAUGUCUGAUUAGCUAGUUGGUGGGGUAAUGGCCUACCAAAGCUUCGAUCAGUAGCUGGUCUGAGAGGACGGCCAGCCACACUGGGACUGAGACACGGCCCAGACUCCUACGGGAGGCAGCAGUGGGGAAUUUUGGACAAUGGGCGCAAGCCUGAUCCAGCCAUGCCGCGUGAGUGAAGAAGGCCUUCGGGUUGUAAAGCUCUUUCAGCCGGGAAGAAAAGGUUGCGAUUAAUAAUCGCAAUUUAUGACGGUACAGGAAGAAGAAGCACCGGCUAACUACGUGCCAGCAGCCGCGGUAAUACGUAGGGUGCGAGCGUUAAUCGGAAUUACUGGGCGUAAAGGGUGCGCAGGCGGUUUUGUAAGUCAGAUGUGAAAUCCCCGGGCUUAACCUGGGAACU
rnacentral:rRNA from 1 species